AACGAACGCUGGCGGCAGGCUUAACACAUGCAAGUCGAACGCCCCGCAAGGGGAGUGGCAGACGGGUGAGUAACGCGUGGGAAUCUACCCAGUUCUACGGAACAACUGAGGGAGACUUCAGCUAAUACCGUAUACGCCCUACGGGGGAAAGAUUUAUCGGAAUUGGAUGAGCCCGCGUAAGAUUAGCUAGUUGGUGAGGUAAUGGCUCACCAAGGCGACGAUCUUUAGCUGGUCUGAGAGGAUGAUCAGCCACACUGGGACUGAGACACGGCCCAGACUCCUACGGGAGGCAGCAGUGGGGAAUAUUGGACAAUGGGCGCAAGCCUGAUCCAGCCAUGCCGCGUGAGUGAUGAAGGCCUUAGGGUUGUAAAGCUCUUUCAGUGGGGACGAUAAUGACGGUACCCACAGAAGAAGCCCCGGCUAACUUCGUGCCAGCCGCCGCCGUAACAC
rnacentral:rRNA from 1 species